AGCGAACGCUGGCGGCAGGCCUAACACAUGCAAGUCGAACGAACUCUUCGGAGUGAGUGGCGGACGGGUAAGUAACACGUGGGAACGUGCCUUUAGGUUCGGAAUAACUCAGGGAAACUUGUGCUAAUACCGAAUGUGCCCUUCGGGGGAAAGAUUUAUCGCCUUUAGAGCGGCCCGCGUCUGAUUAGCUAGUUGGUGAGGUAAAGGCUCACCAAGGAGACGAUCAGUAGCUGGUCUGAGAGGAUGAUCAGCCACAUUGGGACUGAGACACGGCCCAAACUCCUACGGGAGGAAGCAGUGGGGAAUCUUGCGCAAUGGGCGAAAGCCUGACGCAGCCAUGCCGCGUGAAUGAUGAAGGUCUUAGGAUUGUAAAAUUCUUUCACCGGGGACGAUAAUGACGGUACCCGGAGAAGAAGCCCCGGCUAACUUCGUGCCAGCAGCCGCAGUAA
rnacentral:rRNA from 1 species